AGGAAAUGAAUGUUAGUAUGAAUGAGCAUUUGUGCUAACCAUAAUGUGAUUGUAAUGACAUGAAAGGAUAGGGAUCACAUUAGCAUGGACUCAAGAACGGAACGCUAACGGGUCAUGAGGAGGUGAGGAAGCAAGCUUGAACACGGACGCUUAAGGUUAUACGGAUAACGGGCGGAUUAUCACAAGAAUUAGAGAUCGAAGACCGAGUCACGAGAUAGAUUAUACGGGAAUAAUUAAGUAUGUACUAUUAGUAAACAUGACUUAUAUUUUAUCUUUGUAAAAGAUACAUUUUAAAACGAACUUUCAAGUAAGUCAA